UGAGCUCAAAAACAGAAGGUGAGGUUGGAGCCAUUUUCUCUACAAUAUGAACCUUCUUGGGCUCAAAAACGAGUGUCCAAUUCCAAUCAAAAGUGCAAUCCUACAAAGUUUGUGACAGGGGACUGUGGUGGAUCUACCAGCAAAUAUCGCACUCUUAUUGCUGAUACACAGUGGUAGGUGUUUUGUCCAAGUCUCAAGCCAACAAUCCUUUUUGAUCAGUAUAUCUAGUAGAAGUAAGCAUGCAGAUCGUUGUCUUCGAGGCCGACUAGCUAUUUUGUGCUUUUUUUUGUUUUAAAUUCGAAUGUCACUAUCUACUUUGAAACAGAACUAUUUAG